GACGAGGGGUCCUAGCGUUGUUCGGAAUUACUGGGCGUAAAGCGCAUGUAGGUGGCUUUGCAAGUCAGGUGUGAAAGCCUCGGGCUCAACCCGAGAAGUGCAUUUGAUACUGCUUAGCUUGAGUAUGGGAGAGGGUAGUAGAAUUCCUGGUGUAGUGGUGAAAUACGUAGAUAUCAGGAGGAAUACCGGUGGCGAAGGCGGCUACCUGGCCCAAUACUGACACUGAGAUGCGAAAGCGUGGGGAUCAAAC
rnacentral:rRNA from 1 species